GAUGAACGCUGGCGGCGUGCCUAAUACAUGCAAGUCGAGCGAACAGAUGAGGAGCUUGCUCCUCUGACGUUAGCGGCGGACGGGUGAGUAACACGUGGAUAACCUACCUAUAAGACUGGGAUAACUUCGGGAAACCGGAGCUAAUACCGGAUAAUAUAUUGAACCGCAUGGUUCAAUAGUGAAAGACGGUUUUGCUGUCACUUAUAGAUGGAUCCGCGCCGCAUUAGCUAGUUGGUAAGGUAACGGCUUACCAAGGCAACGAUGCGUAGCCGACCUGAGAGGGUGAUCGGCCACACUGGAACUGAGACACGGUCCAGACUCCUACGGGAGGCAGCAGUAGGGAAUCGUCCGCAAUGGGCGAAAGCCUUACGGAGCAACGCCGCGUGAGUGAUGAAGGUCUUCGGAGCGUAAAACUCUGUUAUGAGGGAAGAACAAAUGUGUAAGUAACUAUGCACGUCUUGACGGUACCUAAUCAGAAAGCCACGGCUAACUACGUG
rnacentral:rRNA from 1 species